rnacentral:tRNA from 1 species
UCGCCGGUAGUGUAAUGGCGUGUAGCAUUCCUGCAAUGCAGCAGGAGGUGCGGGUUCGAGUCCCACCUGGCGCU